CGUCGCUGAACUAUACACGGAGUUUACUGCUUCAAACAUAAACAACGAUGGCAAAGGGAGUGGAUGUCUUCUUUUAAAGACACAAAGCCAGAGGAUGUCCACACCAAGGGUAUGAAGAUGAGCAUCUUAACUAUUACUGGAAGAUGAUGUUGUCAUCCACUCAAACCUAAAGGUUCUUUUUUGUGUGACCAGCUCUGUUCGGUUAAGGAUACUCUCUUCUCCACUAAGUAAUAGAGAUGCAUCAUAUUCACAACCUCAUCAUCUGCAGAGAAACUGCCACUCAAUCACACCACAUUGAUGGGCUUAAAGGCAUCACAGAGGAUCCUGAAGAUACAUUAUUCCUGGAAAUUUUGUCAUUUAUUUUCUAUUUCUAUUUUUACUUUCUGAUGUAUUUUUUUUCAUGUUCAUUGUCAACUGUCAUUUAUUAUUUGUAUUUAGCCAAUAACUGUUUUUAGAGCAUUUUCAUUUUUGCUUCAAGUUCAUGUCAAUUAAAAAAAAUAAAAGUACCUAACUGAAACUACAUGCUGUUUUGUUUAGUUUUUGUGUGAGUGAGUAAAACCCUAAUACAGGCUAAAAUACGUUAUAGGAAAAACAAAAAUGUUAAUAGAUAAUAUAUGUAAAUAAUAUUAAUAAGUAAAACUAGUAUCAAAGGUAUAAAUAUACUAAUAUUAAUGAAAAUAAAGUAUUUUCAAAUGUACUAUUUUCUAAAUCCUAUUUCAUGCAUCCCUACAAUUGCGUCUCUUCAGGAGACUUAAACUGCUCAAUUCAUAUUAACUUAUAUAUUUAUUUAAUUAUUUAUGAUCUCUUUAUGAACGCUUUGAAGUUUUGGGUGAACAGCCUUUCAAUACAGAA